AAGGUGGCUCAGUGGUAGAGCGCUUGCCUGCAAGCAUGAGGCCCUGGGUUCGAUUCUUCAGCACCUUA
rfam:Dipodomys ordii contig_793, whole genome shotgun sequence.